rnacentral:rRNA from 1 species
UGGGGAAUAUUGGGCAAUGGGCGAAAGCCUGACCCAGCAACGCCGCGUGAGGGAAGAAGGGUUUCGGCUCGUAAACCUCUGUCCUAUGGGACGAAGGAAGUGACGGUACCAUAGGAGGAAGCCCCGGCUAACUACGUGCCAGCAGCCGCGGUAAUACGUAGGGGGCGAGCGUUGUCCGGAAUGAUUGGGCGUAAAGGGGCGCGUAGGCGGCCUGUUAAGUCUGGAGUGAAAGUCCUGCUUUCAAGGUGGGAAUUGCUUUGGAUACUGAUGGGCUGGAGUGCAGGAGAGGAAAGCGGAAUUACCGGUGUAGCGGUGAAAUGCGUAGAGAUCGGUAGGAACACCAGUGGCGAAGGCGGCUUUCUGGACUGAAACUGACGCUGAGGCGCGAAAGCGUGGGGAGCAAACAAGAUUAGAUACCC